AGGGGCAUAGCUCAAUUGGUAGAGUGACGGUCUCCAAAACCGUAGGCUGCGGGUUCGAGCCCUGCUGCCCCUG
rnacentral:tRNA from 1 species